GUCUAUGGGGUUGCGAAGAGUCGGACAUGACUGAGCAACUUUUCACUUUCACUUUCACAUAAGACCUGAAUGAGGGGAGGAAGCCCAAGGAAGAGAAUGGGAGGAAAUGAAUCUGAUACUCAGAGGUGUGGGUACCAGAGAUGGGGAGAAUUAUCUUGCAGUGUUUAGGUUUCUGGUUAGAGUUCUCCAUGAGAAUCUUUAUAUUAAAUGUCCCUUCUUUGCUUAAGGUAGUUUGGGUUGCAUUUCUGUUUGAUGACACCAGAGCAGUCUUUUCUAAUAGAGACACGUAUAGCACAAGGACCUUAUCCAAACCAAGAGAUUGGGAAAGCCACUUACAACGUACUUUUUACACAGUGUUGUAAUUGUUGGUUGGACUUCCAGGAUAACAUACCCAUGAUGAUGUAACCCAUAGUGUAGUUGAAAGUGAUUUCUGUUUCUCCUUAGAAUGGAUUCAUUCAUUUGUAUCGAAGGCCCAAUGUGUCCCAUGGAACUUACUAGGACCUGGGAAAGUAAAGUGCACUAGGCGUUGGAGGAGCUCUUGCUCCUCCUUCACUAAACCACUUGCUGGUAUUGUCAUGGGCACUGUUAUUUUCUGCUAGGUUUGGGUUACAUUAUGGGUUAAGUAGACUUUGGUGGGCUAGUCUGGGAAACUGACUCCCAUAUGACAUUGUUUCUCUGGUAAAUGUAUUACCUAGUUGGUAGAAGGAGAAUUUGUACCUUUUGGCUAUAGCAAUUGAUGAGUGCACCAAAAAGUUUUUGAAUAUUUCCUAUGUGUCGGGCACUGCUCCCAGCUCUGGAAACAGUGAUGGAUGAUGUGGAAAAGGCUCUGCCGUCACGGAGCUUAAAUUUUCAUGUAGGGAGAUGGGCAAUAAACAGUGAACAAAUACAUGAACAGACAGUUUAGUUAGUAAUCUGUGCCGUGAAUGGAAAAUAAAGAUGAUAUGGUGAAGGAGGGUGGCUGGGGUAGGAUGGAGUGUGACUUUGGGGUCAGGAAAGGAAUCACUAAAGAGGAAAGUUUUCAGGUGAGAGGCACCUGACCCAGGGAAAGAAGGGAACAUGGUGUCUGCAGGGACAUGGCCCUCCAUACCACCAGCUGUGAGGCAGAGAGCACUUGUCAGUCCUGGGCCCUGAGGAACAGUCCCUCUGUUUAUGGGAAUCAGUGUGGUGUAGACCUGGGCUGUCCCAGCACGAUGACUGCUAGCCACAGGUGACUCUUGAGCACUAAAUGUGGCCAAUCUGAACCAAAAUGUUCUAUAAGUGUAAAGUACACUGGAUUCCAAAGACUUAGUAUGAAAAAAAAAAAAAAGCAAACAUUUCCAUUAUUUUUUAUAUUGAUUACACAAUGAAUUGAUACUAUUUUAACAUCCUGGCUUUAUAAAAUAUGUGAUUGAAAUAAAUUUUUACUUUUUUAAUGCAACUGCUAGAAGAUUGGAAUUCCCUCGUGGCUCUGUCAGUAAGGAAUCUGUCUGCAAUGCAGGAGACCUGGAAUCAAACCCAGGUCUCCUGCCUUGCAGGCAAAUUCUUUACCAUCUGAGCCACCUGAGUCACUG
ensembl:lncRNA